rnacentral:rRNA from 1 species
CCUACGGGGGGCGGCAGUAGGGAAUAUUGCGCAAUGGGGGAAACUCUGAUGCAGCGACGCCGCGUGAACGAUGAAGGCUUUCGGGUCGUAAAGUUCUGUCCUAGGGGACGAUAAUGACGGUACCCUAGGAGGAAGCCCCGGCUAACUACGUGCCAGCAGCCCCGGUC